AGUGAACGCUGGCGGUAGGCCUAACACAUGCAAGUCGAACGGCAGCACAGGAGAGCUUGCUCUCUGGGUGGCGAGUGGCGGACGGGUGAGGAAUACAUCGGAAUCUACUUUUUCGUGGGGGAUAACGUAGGGAAACUUACGCUAAUACCGCAUACGACCUACGGGUGAAAGCAGGGGAUCUUCGGACCUUGCGCGAUUGAAUGAGCCGAUGUCGGAUUAGCUAGUUGGCGGGGUAAAGGCCCACCAAGGCGACGAUCCGUAGCUGGUCUGAGAGGAUGAGCAGCCAAACUGGAACUGAGACACGGGCCAGACUCCUACGGGAGGCAGCAGUGGGGAAUAUUGGACAAUGGGCGCAAGCCUGAUCCAGCCAUACCGCGUGGGUGAAGAAGGCCUUCGGGUUGUAAAGCCCUUUUGUUGGGAAAGAAAUCCAGCUGGUUAAUACCCGGUUGGGAUGACGGUACCCAAAGAAUAAGCACCGGCUAACUUCGUGCCAGCAGCCGCCGUAA
rnacentral:rRNA from 1 species